UCUCACAGUGUGCCAGGACCCUGUCAGGGGUGUGUGGGGUCUCACAGUGUGUCAGGACCCUGUCAGGGGUGUGUGGGGUCUCACAGUGUGUCAGGACCCUGUCGGGUUGUGUGGGGUCUCACAGUGUGUCCGGACCCUGUCAGGGGUGUGUGGUGUCUCACAGUGUGUCAGGGCCCUGUCAGUGGUGUAUGGCGUCUGACAGUGUGUCUAGACCCUGUCAGGUGUGUGUGGUUGCACAAUGUGACAGGACCCUGACAGGGGUGUGUGGGCUCUCACAGUGAGUCAGGACCGUGUUAGAGAUGGGUGGAGACCCACAGUGUGUCUGGACCCUGUCAGGUAUGUGGGGUCUCAGAAUGUGACUGUAUUCUGUCAGGUGUGUGUGUGUUGGUCUCACAGUGUAUCAGGACCCUUCAGUGUUAUGUGGUGUCUCACAGUGUUUCGGGACCUGGACAGGGGUGUGUGGUGUCUCACAGUGUGUCGGGACCUGGACAGGGGUGUGUGGGGUGUCACAGUGUGUCGGGACCCUGUCAGGGGUGUGUGGGGUCUCAAAGUGUGUCGGGACCUGGACAGGGGUGUGUGGGGUGUCACAGUGUGUCAGACUCUGUCAGGCGUGUGUGGGAUCUCACAGUGUGUCAGGACCCUUCAGUGUUAUGUGGUAUCUCACAGUGUGUCGGGACCUGGACAGGGGUGUGUGGGGUCUCAAAGUGUGUCAGGACCCUGUCAGGGGUGUGGGAUCUCACAAUGUAACUGUAUCCUUGGAGGUGUGAGUUGGGAUUCACAGUGCAUCCGGACCCUUCAGAGUUAUGUGCUGUCUCACAGUGUGUCGGGACCUGGACAGGGAUGUGUGGGGUCUCACAGUGUGUCAGGACCAUGUCAGGGAUGUGUGAGUUCUCACAGUGUGUCAGGACCCUGUCAGGGGUGUGUGGGGUCUCACAGUGCGUCAGGACCCUGUCAGGGGUGUGUGGGGUCUCACCGUGUGUCAGGAUCCCGUCAGGCAUGUGUGGGGUCUCACAGUGCGUCAGGACAAUGUCAGGGGUGUGUGGGGUCUCACAGUGAGUCAGGGCACUGUCAGGGGUGUGUGGGGUCUCACAGUGUGUCAGGACCCUGUCAGUGGUGUGUGGGGUCUCACAGUGUGUCAGGACCCUGUCAAGGGUGUGUGGGGUCUCACAGUGUGUCAGCACCCCGUCAGGGGUGUGUGGGGUCUCACUGUGUGUCAGGACCCUGUCAGGAGUGUGUGGGGUCUCACAGUGUGUCAGGACCCUGUCAGGAGUGUGUGGGUCUCACAAUGUGUCAGGACCCUGUCAGUGGUGUGUGGGGUCUCACAGUGUGUCAGGACACUUCCAGGAGUGUGUGGGAUUUCACAGUGCGUUCAGACCCUGGCAGGUGUGUGUUGCUUCUCAGUGUGUGUCAGGAACCUAAAAUGAGUUUGUGGGGCAUCACAGAGUGUCAGGACCCUGUCAGAGACGUGUGGGAUCUCACAGUGUGUCAGGCUCCUGACAUGGGUGUGUGGAAUCUCACAGUGUGUCAGGACCCUGCUAGGGGUGUGUGGGGUCUCAGAGAGUGUCAGGAUCCUGCUAGGGGUGUGUGGGGUCUCAGAAUGUGACUGUAUCCUGUCAGGUGUGUCUGGGGUCUCACAGUGUAUCAGGACCCUUCAGAAUUAUCUGCUGUCCCACAGUGUGUCAGGACCCUGUCAGGGGUGUGUGGCGUCUCACAGUGUGUCAGGACCCUGUCAGGGGUGUGUGGGGUCUCACUUGUGUCAGGACAC